AAGGACAUGUGGAGCGCUUAGAAGUGAGAAUGCCGGUGUGAGUAGCGAAAGACGGGUGAGAAUCCCGUCCACCGAUUGACUAAGGUUUCCAGAGGAAGGCUCGUCCGCUCUGGGUUAGUCGGGUCCUAAGCUGAGGCCGACAGGCGUAGGCGAUGGAUAACAGGUUGAUAUUCCUGUACCACCUAUAAUCGUUUUAAUCGAUGGGGGGACGCAGUAGGAUAGGCGAAGCGUGCGAUUGGAUUGCACGUCUAAGCAGUAAGGCUGAGUAUUAGGCAAAUCCGGUACUCGUUAAGGCUGAGCUGUGAUGGGGAGAAGACAUUGUGUCUUCGAGUCGUUGAUUUCACACUGCCGAGAAAAGCCUCUAGAUAGAAAAUAGGUGCCCGUACCGCAAACCGACACAGGUAGUCAAGAUGAGAAUUCUAAGGUGAGCGAGCGAACUCUCGUUAAGGAACUCGGCAAAAUGACC
rnacentral:rRNA from 1 species